GAUUCGUCACACUAUCAUUAACUGAAUCCAUAGGUUAAUGAGGCGAACCGGGGGAACUGAAACAUCUAAGUACCCCGAGGAAAAGAAAUCAACCGAGAUUCCCCCAGUAGCGGCGAGCGAACGGGGAGGAGCCCAGAGCCUGAAUCAGCAUGUGUGUUAGUGGAAGCGUCUGGAAAGGCGCGCGAUACAGGGUGACAGCCCCGUACACAAAAGCGCAUGUGCUGUGAGCUCGAUGAGUAGGGCGGGACACGUGGUAUCCUGUCUGAAUAUGGGGGGACCAUCCUCCAAGGCUAAAUACUCCUGACUGACCGAUAGUGAACCAGUACCGUGAGGGAAAGGCGAAAAGAACCCCGGCGAGGGGAGUGAAAAAGAACCUGAAACCGUGUACGUACAAGCAGUGGGAGCACCCUUCGGGGUGUGACUGCGUACCUUUUGUAUAAUGGGUCAGCGACUUAUAUUCUGUA
rnacentral:rRNA from 1 species